CACUCCUGCGGGAGGCAGCAGUGGGGAAUAUCGCACAAUGGGCGCAAGCCUGAUGCAGCCAUGCCGCGUGUAUGAAGAAGGCCUUCGGGUUGUAAAGUACUUUCAGCGGGGAGGAAGGCGAUAAGGUUAAUAACCUUGUCGAUUGACGUUACCCGCAGAAGAAGCACCGGCUAACUCCGUGCCAGCAGCCGCGGUAAUACGGAGGGUGCAAGCGUUAAUCGGAAUUACUGGGCGUAAAGCGCACGCAGGCGGUCUGUCAAGUCGGAUGUGAAAUCCCCGGGCUCAACCUGGGAACUGCAUUCGAAACUGGCAGGCUAGAGUCUUGUAGAGGGGGGUAGAAUUCCAGGUGUAGCGGUGAAAUGCGUAGAGAUCUGGAGGAAUACCGGUGGCGAAGGCGGCCCCCUGGACAAAGACUGACGCUCAGGUGCGAAAGCGUGGGGAGCAAACAGGAUUAGAUACCCUAGUAGUCCCA
rnacentral:rRNA from 1 species